rnacentral:lncRNA from 1 species
UACGCUUAGAAAAUAGAAAUGUAAUUUUUUUUCUUGGUGUUACAUUAACAAAACAAGUUCUCUCCUUCUGUUGAACCUCGGUGAGAAAGCAAUUUAAACUUCCCUCUUCUCAGCUCUUAUCCUCUAUCUCUGACUUGUGAGAGCGACGCUAGCGCUACUACAGAGACCCCUCAGAAUCUUCCUUCUCUCUUUAGCACGUGCUUGUUGCUAUCGUCUGUCUCUCUUUAUCACAUGAAUCUAAUGGCAUCGCCCCUCGCCUGCGCAACGCAGCUGCGCGACCACUUUUGUUCCCACCUCUCAGUACGUUUUAUCACUCUUUGAACGCGAGAUCCUACGUCGUCAUCCUUCCGAACUUCCAACAAUCUCAUUCGGUUCCGACAUGUCGCCCUGAACGGGCGGCUGCCCGCUCAGCCUUCCCAUUUCAUGAUCAUAACAUCAACACAACCUAUAAAAAAUUCCAAUUCUUAUCAAAAUCCCGCAUUUCAAAGUUGACUUCCUUAUCACUGCUCUUUUUUAUUAACAAUCGCUGUUUCACUGCAAGGAAAUGCAUUUCUCCUUUUUGUGCUGUGCUUUCCUAGUUUUGUGUCAAUUUAACCAUUCAGUGCUAAGCUGAUAGUGUGCCUCCACAGUCUCUGGACAUGCCCUCUUCGCUCUCACAUCAUUCCCAUUGAUAAAUUGAUAUUAAGUGAGAUUAUUGCUCUGUCAUCACAUCAUGAUCGCAUACUCAAGUAUUAUUUAGAUUUUUUUCCCCAUUUCAUCCAUUAUCAUGUCAACCGAGAACAAAGAACUUGUUCUAUUGAUCUCCAAAAUAACGGGUCCAACGAAUCCGAAGUUCAGCAAAUACCUACCACAUAUUCUCAGGAGAUUGAAAAAUAAUGACAGUGAAAUUGAUAUUCUGUUGAAGCAUCAAGAUUUCUUUGAGAUCCUCAAAGCUGCUCUGACCAAACCAGGCUGUGACACAACCAUUCUCUUCUUAUCUAUACUGGACAUCUGCUGCUGUAAAAGCUCAUUUUGCAGUGAGCUGUCAGGACAUAAUAUUGUGCAUCAUCUGACUUUUAUUUUACAAAAUUUGAACGAUCGCAAGCUACUAAGUUACACGUGCAAAGUGAUCGGCAAGCUAGCAAAAUCCAACACUCCGGAUUUAGUAGGGGAGUUGAACAAGUCCAAAGCCUUACUAUUCGUUACAAAAGUUUUAAAUGAUACCCGAAACGGCUGGAAAGAUACACAAACCACAGCACUCUAUGCUUUGGGGUGGCUGUGGAAUGUGUGUUUUAUGGCAGAUAUUGUCAGGUCAAAUUCAAUCAAAUACGUCAUGACUCUUUUGCUGUCAGAGAAUACAUCAGUUUACAAACCUUGUUUAAUCGCAUUGAGUAGGCUAAAGUUGAAUCAGAAACCUGCAUCAAUUAAAUGUGCUUUGCAGGUUAGUGAAAAUAAAGGUUUUGCAAAAAUUAUAUCACUGCUCCCAAAGUAUCCAGAUCUUGUUGGAACCGUUCUGUCAACUUUAAUGGGAACUCGUGCAUGUGAAGUUUACAAACCUCUCAGCGAAAAUAAAAUGCUCUACACAGUCUUUGACCAGCUAAAAACACAACCAAAUAAUUUUAUCCUGCUCCGUACCUUUUGUUUAGCGUGUCUAGAUAGCUCCUUACAAGUCAGUCUGAGGAUAUCCAACUCUCUUCCAUUUUUCCUCUCUCUUUUCAAACAAUUCUCGUAUAAAUCCAAAGAGAUGGAUUAUUAGUCAGUACUCUUGAAAAAUUUGAAAAAAAUACUGAUUGUUUAAGGGUAAGUCUGUUAUUAUUUAGUUAUUAUUUUCCUUUGUUUUGUGGCUAACUUAGUUGUUCUUCAUUAUAUGUUCUUUGUUAAUAUUGGAAGUAGUUAUUUUGUUAAUGCAAGGGGUGUCCCAUAAGGACUGUCAGAAAUUUAGAAAACAUAGCUUUAAAGGAAAUUGAAUCUGGUCAAUUUCAACUUUUUGACCCUCAGCUCAGUCAUCUUGGUCCAGAACAUUUUUUCCAACGAUUUUGCACUUCUCAAACACUUGCUCAAAACUACCCCAAGAAGUUUAUUGAAGGUCUAAAGAACCUCUCAUAUGAUUAUUGGCCUAAGGGUGUAGAUAAAAGUCAUUAGGCGUCAGAAUUAGACCAACAUAUUGGCAGGAUUCCAUUUCAACAUAUUUCAUGGGGGGGGUGCACGUGCUGUGACCCAAGAUCGGUACUGGAGAGUGGUAGUCAACAGUCGCUGAACCCACCGAGCGCAAACAUCAGUAGGGUUCAGUUGAUCAUGUAAUUUUGUAUAUCAUUACUGAAUCGUUCUUAUUCCAAUAAGAAGAAAUUGAUUUUCUAUGUUUUACUAUGGGUUGAAGAAAAUGACUGUGAAAUAGUAGGAUAAACUGUAAACUUGCAAGUCAGACAUGACCCCAAACUCGACUCUCUUUUUUGUAAAGUAGAGUGUAUUUUUCUAAAAGAAAAAAAACUAACGCAAAUUGCAUCUCAUUAUCUACCUUGUUCAAAAAAUGUAAUUUGUAGGUUUCCUACUUGACAAUGCUACCACAAGAACCGGAAUCAUUUUCUUGUCUGAAACUUGAUUGUGAAGAUCUGAUAUCCAAAACCAGUAAAUGCUGCGCUAUAAAUCAUCCUACGGGUGGACGGGGAAUAGGAAACUGAAAUUGAAGAAUAACUAAAUAGGGUUGAAGGUUGAACUAGAUAAGGUGAACUAGCUUACAUUACUUUUUUAUUCCCACGAUUCCAGGAGAUGGCUGAACAUGGUCUAGUGGACAUUUUGGCUUCCAUUUUACACGACAUUGUACAAAAUGAAAAGUUGGAUGAUAUAUCCAUGAAAAAACAUAUCAGCCCCCUUCAUGUUGCACACGGUAUUUGUCACUGGAUCACUCUUUUUCAAAAAGCGGAGAAUGCUCAGGAUAUGACGCAGAUAAUUCAUGGCACUCUGUAAGUACCUUGAUAUUUUUCUGUCAUCUUUUUCAAGGUUUAUUCAAAGAAUGUUUUGUUUGCUAUUAGAAUUACUUAGAACCAAACAUCAGUUGUAAGGAAUCAUCGAAAUUACAAUGGCGUGCUGUAUGAGGAAGUGCUCUAAUUCUAUGUUUUUUUGCUCAGAAUGUUUGUAUUUUAUGCUCCGUAACCCAUAGAUUAGAUAUGCCAAAUACAGCUCAAUUUUUCGGACUCUUAAACUCUGAUCACUAUGUUUAAGAGCAAGUAGCUGCCAUCAGUGAAUUUGUACUAUCAGUUCUUCAUCAGUUCAGACACUCUUUCAUGCUUGACUAAAUAAUGAAAUCCAGGAAUAAACAGGAACUCUCAUCAUAAGCGUCUCUGUCGCUGUCUCCAAACUCUAUGCCGAAGCAUCCCAUCGUGGGAAAACUAAGACAUUUUUGCAUCAAAUUCUCCAAAGUUUUGGAUACUUAUCUGUAAACUUUUAAGAGAAAGUUUUCGAUAUUUAUGAGUGCUCUCCUGCAAUUAAAUUACAUGGAUUUAUUUUCCUUGCUCUUCCUCUAUCUCAGAUUUUACUAUCUUAAUUUCUUGGAUCUUGUACUUCAUUGUCGCCUCUUUUUUCUUACAGAUUAACUCCAUCCUAAUAGUAUUAUUGGCUGUCACCCGUCUUGAGAAUUUGAGUCAAAAAAUCAUUGUUGCUUUGACCUCGGAAGAAGUGUGGAACUCAGUUUUGAACUGCAUUUGUUUUGUACCAGACACAAUUAGCAAAAACGCUAUCAACAUAUUAUCUUCAUUAGGAAGGUAAGAUGUCUCAUGAUUGUUGGUAUUGUCAAUAUAUAUGUGAUAUUGUUGGUGUUUAAUAGGAAAAUAAUCACAGCCCUGCCUAAUGAAUCUGAAAGGAAUGAAAAUGGAAAUGUUGUCUUCUGUUGACAAAACUCUAAAAUUGGCAGCUCUUUUUUCCUUUGACGUAAUGAAAUCCCAAACAUAAAACAUGUAACAUUCUUUGUUGGCGAGCUUGUUUAUUUUUUCAACUGUUCUUUGUAGGUACUCCUAUACUUUCUAGAUUGAGCUAGUAACACCAACGACCAACGCAGUCCUUAUUAGAGUCAGAUAUUUGCGAUUUAACCGUCAGUUCCUUUGUACAGUAUCAUCAGAAACACAAUAUUGUCAUUGCUUUUUUCUCACAGUAACUCCAUGAAUGGAAGUGUAUCCAGUAUGAAAAUGUAUUGACUCUCACAUGGGCUAGGUGCUCUGACAAGAAUCGAUUAUUCAACACAGGUUUAAAUGGAGAAAAGCCUCUGUUGUUAACCCGCUAGAUCUGCCUGCAUUAUUUGGCCCACAAAACUUACAGCAACUGAUAACAUAGCAACAGCUCAUUUUUGCUAGCUACAAAAACUCCACUAGCUGUAGAUGAGGGUCUCCUUAUUGCUAUAAAUUCUGAACGAAUUCAUUUUGAUAGCUUACUAUAAACCGAUAGGACACAUCCGAUUUACAAUCAGCCCUAUUUUUGUAUAGAACAUUUUUUUAAUUCAAAAGUGGGUUCUCCCCUUGUUGCGUAGUGUUUAUCUACUAAAAUCUCAAAUUUGAAAGCUUUAAAGAGCUCAAAAAUGUAUUAAUUUCUGACAGCAUCACCCCAAACUCUUAUGGGAAUUUGAUUAAACAACUACUUUUUUCAACAUACUGAAAAAUAUAAUGCCUACUUUUUUCAUUUUAUUUCAGUUCUCCCAAACAUUUUAUGAGCAUUUAUAGAAAUAAAUUGGUCUUGAAGAUUGAGAGAACACUCUUACGUGCAGCACAUGAUGACUGCUAUCAUUGCGCUUACUUGUACCUUGCUGGAAAGUAUAUCCUUCAGAAAAUGUCAAAAGCUGCUGAAUGUGGAAUGGUGUACGGAGAGUUGAUACAUAUUCUUGCUCAAGAUGAGCCUCAAGCCAAAAGAGAAUUGGCUAUUAGUGUAGCAUUAGUCAUCAGGUAAUGAAAAGAUCUUAGUUUUCUCCUUAUUUUUAUUCCAUCCAAUUAGCUUCAAAAGUAUGGUUCCUGAACCACUGCAUGGUCUGCAAUAGCAUUUAUAAAAUUUUACCAAAAAUAUGAGAAAGUGGCCACUGACAAAACUUUUAAGUAGAAAAGGAAAAAUGACAAAAAUCUUCCUUUUGUCUCAGCAGAAUCAGAUAUUGUAUUUUUACAUGCUCAAAAUUCAGCCUAAAAUCGAGAAAAAAGGAGCCCUUUCCUUGGUGGAACACUUGGAAAGUGUUGUUGCUGCCAUUUUUUAUUUAUUUUUUUUUUAUUUUUUGGAGUCUUUUAUUGUGGAGUUGUCAUUUUUAUAUAAUUGUUAUUAUAUAUGGUAUCAUAUUAUUAUAAUUGUCAUAUUUUGAAUGAGAAUAGAAGUUUUGAUCGCUGUUGAUGCUUAAGGGGUUAGAGAGAGGUUUCCAAAAAUUGACAUUGGAACCUGAAAUUCCAACAAUAAAAAAAAACAGAGCUCAGGGAUAUCUGGCGCAAGACUGGAAUUUUUGCUUUUCACUUAAUUUCUGAGUUUGCUAGACUUAUGAGUUAGAAAUUAUGACUAUUGUUAUGAAAUUAUAACUUCGAAUAAAGAAAAUCGUAAAAUUUUCAGACUUCAAAAAUGAAGUGAACAGUAGAUAUUGCUCUAUUAAUAAUGCGCCAUAAGAUUAAAGGUUAAAGUACAAGUUUUCCUCUUUCAAUCAAGGAAACAUGAAAAAUCAGAGAUUUUUUCUUUUAAAAGUUGUUAAUAUCAAGUAAUCUUUAUUUUUAUCAAUCAUAAUUAAAUUAAUUCUUCCCAUUUUUCCUUUCAGGAAUGGGCGUUCAUUAUUAAGUUACUUAUCUCAUCACAAAUGUUUGGAUUACAUCAUCGAGGCUUUGGAUGACCCUGUUCUGUAUGAGGAUGCUAUAGUCAGCAUAUCUUUCAUGU